rnacentral:rRNA from 1 species
UACAGAGGUCCCAAGCGUUGUUCGGAUUCACUGGGCGUAAAGGGUGCGUAGGCGGUCGGGUAAGUCUGACGUGAAAUCUCCAAGCUCAACUUGGAAAUGGCGUCGGAUACUAUUCGGCUUGAGGAGUGGAGGGGGACUGGAAUUCUUGGUGUAGCAGUGAAAUGCGUAGAUAUCAAGAGGAACACCAGUGGCGAAGGCGAGUCCCUGGACAACACCUGACACUGAGGCACGAAAGCUAGGGAGCAAACAGG